rnacentral:lncRNA from 1 species
CAUCGCUGAUGCUUUGAUUGUACUAAAUUGGCAACCCUCAUUUCUCGCUUGCAGUGAAUUAAUUUGGCGAUAGAUUCCAUUUUUAGUUGCAAAAAAUCAUUUUCGUGGUAAAAUAUGGGACAAGGUGUCCUUAAAAAAUUGCCACAAGCAUUAUUUGAUGGCCCGGAAUGCUUUAUACAAGGGAUAUUGACAUUAACAUUCC